UACGGAGGAUGCGAGCGUUAUCCGGAUUUAUUGGGUUUAAAGGGUGCGCAGGCGGCACGGCAAGCCGGCGGUCAAAUCGCGGGCUCAACCCCGCCCAGCCGUCGGAACUGCCGGGCUAGAGUGGGCGAGAAGUGCGCGGAAUGCGUGGUGUAGCGGUGAAAUGCAUAGAUAUCACGCAGAACUCCGAUUGCGAAGGCAGCGCACCGGCGCCCUACUGACGCUCAGGCACGAAAGCGUGGGUAUCGAACAGG
rnacentral:rRNA from 1 species